CGCGCCCGCGCACCAGCAGAUCGAGGUCAUCAGCAGCGGCAGCGAGCCAAGCAGCACUCUAUCUCUCGGAAGCAGCGGUGCCGAUGACAAUGAAGAUUAAACUCCUACCCAUUAUGUUCCUAGGCGGAAUGGAGGAUAGCGGGAAUGGACCGCGUGGGCGAGGCAUGCGGGGCCGUGGACGCCCCUCGCGCCGCUCACACAAAGUUGUCAUUUUAUACGCGAUUCUUAUAUUGAUUAAUUAAAUUAAAUUGAUUUAAAAAAAAAAAUAGUUUUAUUGCUCAGAAAACAUAAGCACUUCUUGUCAUUUCACCAUGUUUCAAUGUCUUUGAUAGCCGAUUGUCAUUUAGAUCAAAGUUAUCUUGGGGGGUUGC